GAUUAUAUGUUUGACUUUUUCUUUCUUGACAUCAGUGCACACAUGCUUGAACUUAUUGGCAAAAGGAUGGUUUUGAAGAGAAUGAGAGUCAUUCGGAAUGGUUUGAAAGACUGGGACCAGCACAUGGGGACUUCAAUCCUCAAAUGAGUGUCAAGACGAAACACAAUAUAUCAAAAAUUUUGCCCCGGUUUUGUGUUUAAGAAAAUGAGCUGAGGUUUAGAUCCAUGACAAUUAGGGUGAAAAUUACAAAGGAGAUUUUCAAAGCUGCCCCAGUCUUGAGGUUAUGGAUUGAUGAAAAACUUGUGUAAGACUCACAAAGUUUCCCAAUUGUUGUUUGCUUUUUCUUUGUUUAUUGUGGUAUGAGUUGAUGACAAACUCAAGUGAGACUCACAAAGUUGUCCCGGUUUUUCUUUGGUAAGGGUUCUGUUUGAAUGAGGUAUUGAACAUGAAAAGGACCGGCAAAAAGGGUGACCCCAAAUUAAUUUGAUUUUUCUUUUGCAUGCUUCUGGUUAGAUGGCAGGGUGAUCCCCUCUUCUUGAGACAUUUAUUUUUCUUCUUUUCUCUUUUUUUUUCUUCUUUUUCCACUUUUAUCUUUUUUCUUUUUUUUUUUUUACAACACUUUGAAAGUCAUUUCUCCUCAUCGCAAAAUUAAGCUUCAUGAAAAUUUUAGCAAACAUUAUCCAAUCUGCGUGGACUUUAUUAAGCUUGUAACGUGGCUACGGGCUAAAAGGGUUUUGAAAGAAAGGAUAUUAAGGCCCAAGUGAAUGUUUGUUGGUUAUUAUUUUUUGAAACAAGGGUUAUCAUUUAAGUAUUGAAUCAACUAUUUGACUUUUUGAGCACUUUGCUUUUCUUGAACUUUAGUUUUCAUUCUUUUUGCUCGACAUCACUUCGUGAUUGAUUUUUCCUUCCCCUUU
rnacentral:lncRNA from 1 species